GACGAACGCUGGCGGCGUGCCUAACACAUGCAAGUCGAACGAAGCACUUUAACAGAACCUUCGGGUGAAGAUAUUGUGACUGAGUGGCGGACGGGUGAGUAACGCGUGGGUAACCUGCCCUGUACAGGGGGAUAACAGUUAGAAAUGACUGCUAAUACCGCAUAAGCGCACGAUGGUAGCAUUACCAGGUGUGAAAAACUCCGGUGGUACAGGAUGGGCCCGCGUCUGAUUAGCUUGUUGGCGGGGUAAGAGCCCACCAAGGCGACGAUCAGUAGCCGGUCUGAGAGGAUGAACGGCCACAUUGGAACUGAGACACGGUCCAA
rnacentral:rRNA from 1 species